rfam:Nitrospira sp. ST-bin5 4008, whole genome shotgun sequence.
CGUAAGGCGACGACGAGGAGUAGUACGCGAGCCGCACAGAUUUGAGAGAGCCGGCGGGUGGUGCAAGCCGGUCUGUGUGUCGCCGAACUCGCCUCUGAGCCGAAUCCGUGAACCCCGAGUAAUGGAUUCCGCUUCGCUCCCGUAAGGGGCCAAUGAAGGGCGAUGGAUGACCGGAUGUCAUUCGUUGCCGAACCAGGGUGGUACCACGAAGCGCGCGAAGCCUUCGUCCCUGAC